CCAAGAAGGAACCCGGCAAGUACCGCCUGAUUCACCAUCUGUCCUACCCCAAGGGGUCAUCAGUUAAUGACGACAUAGACAGGGCCCUUUCUUCGGUUUCGUAUGCUACGUUUGACUAGGCGGUGAACCUGGUGCAGCGAGCAGGCCGGGGGGCGUUGUUGGCGAAGGCGGACGUGGAGGCGACUUUCCGCCUUUUGCCGAUUCACCCGAAGUGCCAUCACUUGCUGGGUUGUCACUUCGAGGGGGAAUAUUACGUAGAUCUUUG